rnacentral:rRNA from 1 species
UACGUAGGGGGCAAGCGUUGUCCGGAUUUAUUGGGCGUAAAGAGCGUGUAGGCGGUUUGGUAGGUCCGCUGUGAAAACUCGAGGCUCAACCUCGAGACGCCGGUGGAAACCAUCAGGCUAGAGUCCGGAAGAGGAGAGUGGAAUUCCACGUGUAGCAGUGAAAUGCGUAGAGAUGUGGAGGAACACCGAUGGCGAAGGCAGCCCCCUGGGCUAACACUGACGCUCAUGCACGAAAGCGUGGGGAGCAAACAGG